CAGUGACCCGCCUCGCCUGCCCAGUGUUCAGACUACCUGUUCAGGAAGUUGUGGUUGUACAGUAGUCUGCACAUUGGUUAGGCUGUGUGGGGGAGCUCG
rnacentral:pre_miRNA from 12 species